rnacentral:rRNA from 1 species
UGAGGAAUAUUGGUCAAUGGACGAGAGUCUGAACCAGCCAAGUAGCGUGAAGGAUGACUGCCCUAUGGGUUGUAAACUUCUUUUAUAUGGGAAUAAAGUUUUCCACGUGUGGAAUUUUGUAUGUACCAUAUGAAUAAGGAUCGGCUAACUCCGUGCCAGCAGCCGCGGUAAUACGGAGGAUCCGAGCGUUAUCCGGAUUUAUUGGGUUUAAAGGGAGCGUAGGUGGACAGUUAAGUCAGUUGUGAAAGUUUGCGGCUCAACCGUAAAAUUGCAGUUGAUAUUGGCUGUCUUGAGUACAGUAGAGGUGGGCGGAAUUCGUGGUGUAGCGGUGAAAUGCUUAGAUAUCACGAAGAACUCCGAUUGCGAAGGCAGCUCACUGGACUGCAACUGACACUGAUGCUCGAAAGUGUGGGUAUCAAACAGG